rnacentral:rRNA from 1 species
GACGAACGCUGGCGGCGUGCUUAACACAUGCAAGUCGAACGGAAAGGCCCUGCUUUUGUGGGGUGCUCAAGUGGCGAACGGGUGAGUAACACGUGAGUAACCUGCCCUUGACUUUGGGAUAACUUCAGGAAACUGGGGCUAAUACCGGAUAGGAGCUCCUGCUGCAUGGUGGGGGUUGGAAAGUUUCGGCGGUUGGGGAUGGACUCGCGGCUUAUCAGCUUGUUGGUGGGGUAGUGGCUUACCAAGGCUUUGACGGGUAGCCGGCCUGAGAGGGUGACCGGCCACAUUGGGACUGAGAUAGGGCCCAGACUCCUACGGGAGGCAGCAGUGGGGAAUAUUGCACAAUGGGCGGAAGCCUGAUGCAGCAACGCCGCGCGCGGGAUGACGGCCUUCGGGUUGUAAACCGCUUUCGCCUGUGACGAAGCGUGAGUGACGGUAAUGGGUAAAGAAGCACCGGCUAACUACGUG